rnacentral:rRNA from 1 species
UACGGAGGGUGCAAGCGUUAUCCGGAAUUACUGGGUUUAAAGGGUGCGUAGGCGGCUUAGUAAGUCAGGGGUGAAAGGUCACGGCUCAACCGUGGAAUGGCCUUUGAUACUGCUGAGCUUGAAUCAGGAUGAGGUUGGCAGAAUGUGGCAUGUAGCGGUGAAAUGCAUAGAUAUGCCAUAGAACACCGAUUGCGAAGGCAGCUGGCUAGUCCUUGAUUGACGCUGAGGCACGAAAGCGUGGGGAUCUAACAGG